UGGGGAAUUUUGGACAAUGGGGGAAACCCUGAUCCAGCCAUCCCGCGUGUGCGAUGAAGGCCUUCGGGUUGUAAAGCACUUUUGGCAGGAAAGAAACGUCAUGGGUUAAUACCCCGUGAAACUGACGGUACCUGCAGAAUAAGCACCGGCUAACUACGUGCCAGCAGCCGCGGUAAUACGUAGGGUGCAAGCGUUAAUCGGAAUUACUGGGCGUAAAGCGUGCGCAGGCGGUUCGGAAAGAAAGAUGUGAAAUCCCAGAGCUCAACUUUGGAACUGCAUUUUUAACUACCGGGCUAGGGUGUGUCAGAGGGAGGUGGAAUUCCGCGUGUAGCAGUGAAAUGCGUAGAUAUGCGGAGGAACACCGAUGGCGAAGGCAGCCUCAUGGGAUAACACAGACGCUCAUGCACGAAAGCGUGGGGAGCAAACAGG
rnacentral:rRNA from 1 species